rnacentral:rRNA from 1 species
CCCUUAGAUGUCCUGGGCCGCACGCGCGUUGCACUGAUGCAUUCAACGAGCCUAUAACCUUGGCCGAGAGGCCUGGGCAAUCUUGUUAACGUGCAUCGUGAUAGGGAUAGAUUAUUGAAAUUAUUAAUCUUGAACGAGGAAUUCCUAGUAAACGCAGAUCAUCAAUCUGCAUUGAUUACGUCCCUGCCCUUUGUACACACCGCCCGUCGCACCUACCGAUUGGAUGGUCCGGUGAAGCCUCGGGAUUGUGGUUCUUGCCGCUUUAUUGUGGCGUGACCGCGAGAACUUGUCUAAACCUUAUCAUCUAGAGGAAGGUGAAGUCGUAACA